rnacentral:lncRNA from 1 species
GAUAGUGGAAGGAGAUGGUAGUCCUACUGGUAAUGAUAGAUCAUGUAGUGACUUGUACGUAAUGAUUAAUAGAAGGCCUCAGCUUUCCAGCUGAGGGAAAUGAGAAUGCCAUUGGAGGGUUUUGAGUACAGCAUGAUGUGAUCUGACAUAUUGUAGAAGAAUUUUGAAGGCCACACUGUUGGGAAUCAUUGUAUUGAAGCACAGGUGAGUCAUGUAAAGUACUUAGAAGACAACUGCAAUCAUCCAGGCAACAGAUGAUGGAGUGCUCAUACAGGGCUGGCAGAAGGGAAAGUGUUCCAGGCCACGGACAACACAAGGUGCUUGGUGAGCUCUAAAUGGUACCUGCUUUCUGCUGGUAAACAUAAAAUGAAUUUGUGAUGGAAAGAAUUCACCCGUGAAGGCUGCCCGUCUCUGGGAAGAAGGAAGACAGAGAAUUUUGAGGUUCCAGGGGACAAGUAUAUCUCACAGCUGGAAAGAGGAAAGGAUGAAGACAAAAUUUGAACACAAGACUUAAAACAACUAAAUUAUCUCUAAGUAUUCUUAAGUAAUUUGAGUUAUAUUUGUCCUUCCCAAAACAACAAGACUCUAAGCCACCCAAGGGCAAGGGCUGAAGGGUAUCAUCUAUUUAUUCUGAAUCACCUUGAACAUCUUGACAUGGACUCUAUAUGAAACAUCUGUCGAAAAGGCAUUGAUGACUACAUCAAAGGAGAUAGAAAAUCACAGCUCCUUGAAAAUUGUUAUCAUUUUCUUUCAGAAGUGAUCAUUAUCAUUUUUGAGGAUGAAAAUGUAGGGAUUGGUGUCAUAUCUUUUUUAUUCCAGUGGGAACUGUCAAAAGUGUUUUGUUUUUGAUGCUUCUUUCUGAAUGAUUGAGAAAUGCUAAUCAUUUCAAAAAACAGAACAAAGACCAAGGCAUAUAAAGCCUUGAUAGAUUUUAUUUUAUUUUUUUUGAAAAUUCUUAUUUCUGAUGGAAAGGGAAUGAAGGAAAGGAAUAAGGCAAAUCAUGUUUCUCUGUAUGACACUGACAGCAUUAAUGCUGCCAGUUCUUCAUCCUACAGAAAGAAGGUUGUGUGGAUAUUAAUGCUCUCUCUGGAGAUGGGAAUAUGCCUCAUGUUGCUUAAGAUCAAUAUUUACCUUCGCAGACACUGAAGACAGAAUGGACUCUUUAAAAUUGACAUCAAAGUUCCAUUAACAUGUGCUUUCACAAAGAAAUGUCCUACUUUCUAGGCAGCAUUGCAAGUGCAUGGUAUUUCAUAUGUCUAUUGUUUUAGGCACUGAAAGGCCGGAAGAAAAAGGCUUGCUCUUCCAUUGCGCCUCUGCAUUUCAGGGAGCAGAUUCUGUAGAGUGCUCCAAAAUGAUAAUGAAGUCAAUGAUGAAGCAACGGGGACUUUAAGUAGUUAACGUCCCUCUGUAAGUGCCAAAAUCACUGUAUCAGGGAUUUGUCCACACAAGGAAUUCAGCUUUUUAUUUCUUACAAAUAAUGUGCUGCCAUGAAGAGAAACACAAAUACUCAUUCUGAAAUACUCUAUAGCAAAAUCUGCAAAGCUUAACAUCUGCAAAUUUUCUCCUUAACAUCUAUUUUUCAUAUGCUCCAUUGCUCCUUUUUAUUUUUGAAUAAUAAAAAAAUGCAAAAGAAAAUAACAGCAAAUUAAGCAGAGAUCCAGAAUUGGCAUGCAAAAUACCUGGUGUUUUCAACCAACAUUUAUCUUCACCCCAUUGUGGAGAGCUCAAUAAAUGCUAUUUGAAUAUGUUAUCAAUCAUCUAACAUAUUAGCGUGGAGAGAUGAUGCCAAACUGCUUUCACCUUUAAAAUACCUAAUUCUGGAAAGGACACGUGACUGUACAUAAAACAACCUCAUUUUCCCCCAUUAAUUAGACCUGGGCAGAUCAUUUAAUGGCAGGAAAUUAUGAUGGAGUUCAUUUUAUCAUUUAGCAGUUCAAUUAUACAGCAAUUCACAUAUAUAGGCAUAUAUGUGUUACUAUAUAUGCAUAGAUAUAUAUUAUUAACUUAUGUCUUGCCAUUGAACUGAGAAUAAAAUCCAAUGUCCUCACUGUAAAUUCAAAGGUCCUUCAUGAUUGAGCCCUGGUGUAUCUUUCUGACUUCACUUCCGACCACUCUCGUCCUCCCUCCCUGUGUUCCAGCCACACUCACUUUCCUUCUGUUUUUUGAACACAUGCAGCUCAUUCUGCUUAUGCGCUUUGCAGCUGCCUGUUCCACUGCCUAUAACAUCCUCACCUAAUACGGCAUGUAGGACUUUGCUCAAAUAGGUCUCUGCUCUCCCUUGGCCCUCUGUGUAGCAGCAGCACCCUUCUUCAUCACUGUAUCACUACUAGAGCAAUUAUCCAAAAUUAUCUUAUAUAGCCAUAUUCUUUUGUCUGUGCCUACUAAAAUGUAAGCUCCUUGAGAAGUCAAACCUUGUUUCUUUUAUUCACUCUUACUUUCUCAGCACCUAGGAUUUUUUUUUAAUAAAAUGCAUUUUAAUUACUAUAUGUUCUUCAAUAAUGAUUUGGAAUAUAGAGAAAACUCAAGGGAAAAAUCAUUCAUAAUCUUUUCUUUCUACUGUAAGUUCAGUUAAUUCAGAUGUAUUUCCUUCCAGUAUUUUUCCUCUAUUUAAAUUAUAAUGUUUAUUCCAACUCGCAUCUUACUGUUUCUUAAUGCUUAUGUCUGCCUAUGUCAGAAUCAUCCUGACUCAUUUGAGUGCCACAACAAUCCUGUGGAACAGCAAAACCAAGCUAUUAUUAACAAAUUACAAAUAAGGAAACUGAAACUCAUGAAGGCUAAAUGUCUUUCUUGCGCAAUGUCACCCACUCUGAGUCUAGGUUUGGCUCAUCUCUCAACUUUAUUGUCCAGAAUUUCUAUUCAUAAAUGAUCUGCUCAUUUUUCCUCACAAAGCAUGACCUUCUUUAUCACCAUCCCUUCAUUCCAUUGAUACUAAAUCUCUUUUCAGCUACUUAAAUCUUUCCCUUUAUAUCCUGCCUCUUUUGAUAAAUCUGGACAAUCUCAAUUCUCUAUACUUUUUCUCUUAAUAUGUAUUUACAAUUCAGAUCUCUGUCAUCAUUUCACACUUGGCAUAUGAUAUCUAAAUAGCUCAUAAAAAAUUAAUGGAAGUAUUCUGUCUAAUUCAACAUGUAUUUCUUCUUUGCAAUCCCAGUGCCUAUAUCUUCUGAUGUCUGUCCUCAUAGUUCAACUGAAUCAUAUGGAUAAUAAGAACCAUAUUUGGUUCAUCUUGUUUCCUUCCUCCAAACCAUGCCCAUGUGUCUAUACAUACUUAAAAAAUGGAUCAUUCAACAUAUGUUUAUACAGCUCCUUUGUACCAGGCGUUUUUUAAGGUCCUGAGGAUACUGCAAAUAAAUAAAACUAAAAUCUCCCUGUUCUCUUUGCAUUUCCAUUAUGGUAAUUUUACUAAAAAAAAUGGCAUCAAAAUGUAUAAGUGUUAAAAUAAAG